rnacentral:lncRNA from 10 species
CUCAAUAAAACUCAGAGAAGGUGGGGUAGAAGUUGGUUUGGGCUGCAAAUGAGCUUAAUAAAAUGUUUAGGAUUAUGACAAUGUAAUAAAACUGGAUUGUGAUGAUGGUCAUACAACUCUAUACCUUUAUUAAAAAUCAUUAAGUUGUAUACUUGCAAUGGGUAUAAGGUAUAUAAAUGACACCUCAAAAAGGCUGUGAAAACAAAAAAAAACACACAAAAACAAGACAAAACAAAGCAACCUGACUCUCAAUACUGACUCAGCAAUGGAGGUGUGAACUCUGGACAUGCAAUGACCAGCUCCUCAACUGUGUAGGUGACAUCUUGUUGUGACAUAAAUUUUCUCUCCUUCCUUCUGACCUACACUGAUUGCAUGUAGCCCCAGUCAAAGCCAACCCUGCUCGGGCCAUGCCCUGUCUAGCUAUCCAAUGUCCCUGUGCACUCUCAGAGUUUGCUGCCAGGAUCUCUGGGACAGUGUGCCAGGUUUCCAGCCACCUGCUCAGUACUUUUCAGCAUCACUAAAAUGGAGUUAUUUUUGAUACCAGUAAUGGCAGAAAUCCAACUAAAAUGAAUUUUUAUCUACAAUCUUGGCCUUUACCAAAAAAGAACUGAAACACUGCACACACAUAUUGCUAUCCCCAUUUUCCCAGCAUAUAGUACCUGAGGAGAGAAUUCUGGAUGACACUUUCUGCCCUACCAAGAAUACCUACCAAAAUUCUAAAACAUAUUUGCUGUCUGUCCCCUAGGCAUGAGUGUGUGUGUUUUGAGAAAGCUAGGUGGAGGAUGAGGGGUGAAGAUGUAGUAAUUUGGUGUUUGAGCUAUUGAGUUUAAUUGAGUGAUACAUCUGUGCAGAAACGGAAUGUUGACGUCAUCACUUCCUCUGCCAACUUUGUUUGCUGUUUUUGUUUUUUUAAACGAAAUAGAUUUCUUUGGGGCUGCAGCUGGCUGCCUCCAAAGAGGGAUCAAACCAGCUCACUUCCUGCUCAUGCUCUUCUCUUUUACUCGGGACCCAGUCACCAGCUGAGUUUUUCAGGAUUCUAAAAUUCCUUAACUACUCAUUUCAUGUUUCCUUAACUACUCAUUAUGUGAUUCUCAUUCAUUUCCCAACAGAUGUUUGUUGAGCUCCUAUUAAGUGCAAAAGGCUGUCUUAGAGGCUGUGGGGGAUACAGAGAUUAAAAAGAAUGACCCUGUCCUCAGAGAGUUUACAGUCUAACUAAAGCAGGAGGUAGGGAAGGUGAGUAUACAAUAACUAAGCUAUAAGGUAAGGUGAUAACAGACAGACAAACUGAGAUAUCAGAGUUUCGAGGAAGGAGAGAGGCCUUUUAGCUAGAACGAUCAGGAAAGCCUUUCUGGAGAAGGCGUGAUUUGAAUCAGAUCUUAGGGAUGGAUAUAAUUUUGAUUGACAGAUUGCAGGAAUGUGAGAAAUAUAGAUGGAAGGAAAUAACAUGUGCCUGGAGAAAGAAGUUUUUAGAAAUGGAAACGC